rnacentral:rRNA from 1 species
UAACCCCAUGGGUAUUAAUUUUUUUCAUCAAAAGUUUUAUUCUUGCUUGCUUAUUUAAUUUUUACUUGUUUUGUAUGUAAGUUUUUGCUUUUGGUUUGUCUAGAUGAUUUUUGUUUUUGCAGUAUUUAUUACUAUAAAUUAAGGUGUCUUAGAUUUGGUAAUGUUUAUAGUAUCGGUUAAAUUUGUGCCAGCAACCGCGGUUAUACAAAUGAUACAAUUGAAUAUUUUUAGUUAAAGUAGUUUAUUAAAUUUAUUUUUAGGCUGCGAAAUUUUUCUUUAAAUUAGGAUUAGGUAAUCCUAUUGUUUUAUGUUAAUUAUUUAACUUGAGUAGUAGUUGUUAUUUUCUUGAAACUCAAAGAAUUUGGCAGUAUCUUAUUCUGUUCAGAGGAACUUAUAUUUUUAUCAAAAACCCCCGUUGGGCUACUUGAUUUAUAUAUUUAUUUGUAUAUCGCCUUUGUUUUGAGAUUCUCUUAGAAUUAUUUAAUUUUCUUGUUUUUUAUUUUAUUUUAUCUCAGGCCAUAGUGCAAUUUAUAAUUAAGUGAUUAUAGGUUACAUUGUUAUUUAUGUUUGAAUUAUUAAUUGCAAUUUUAAUAUGAAAUUGGAUUUGAAUGUAAUUAUUAUUUUAGAUAGUAAUUAUGAAUAAGUUUUUGGGAUAUGUUCAUACCGCCUGUCGCUCUCGUUAUUUAUUCGAGAUAAGUCGUAACAUAGUAGUUGUAUCUAAAGAUGUAACUAGAAUUAU